AUCUACGGCCAUACCACCCUGAACGCGUCCGAUCUUGUCUAAUCUCAAAAGCUAAGCAGGGUCGGACCUGGUUAGUACUUAGCAUUUCGAUAGGAGACUUACCAUAGCAC
rnacentral:rRNA from 1 species